rnacentral:rRNA from 1 species
CGGCUCAGCCCCCAGCUAUGGCGUACGCGCCCAUCAGUUUUGGCCUCGGAUCAGGCGGGGAUACCCGCUGAACUUAA